UAAACACCUACAAAUGUUUACAGGAAAAUGGGUUAAAUUUUGUUGCUGGGAAAAACCUACAGGAGCCGCGAAAAGUUCUGCUCUACUGGUCACGUAUUGGUAGAGCUCGCAUGGAAGCACGGCCCUUAAAAGGAACACACGCGAUGCGCGCGUGUCGGGUCACCUAGUCCUGAGGAGCUCCUGGGGAAAAGAAGGGGCAGGCAAAAUGGUACGCAAACGACGAUUACAAAUAAGGCUCUCUAAACCGGAUAAAUUCACAAUUAAACAGGAAACCACUAUUGGGCCGGGCCUGGAGGGCGAUUAUAGACCGGACUGAGGAAGGAAGGAAAUCUGGCACACUACUGUGAGUUGCGUAAGGGCAGUCCAACCACUUUAGGCUGGCGUGAUCAGUAAUACAUGUGAACGGCAUCCCUUCCACAUACGGUCUGAACUUCCGAAUGGCUAGGAUGGCCGCCAGACACUCCUUUUCCGUGACCGAGUAAUUCACCUGGUGUUUGUGAAGGCAGUGUACUCCUUGCUUCUGCCAUCCAGUUCAAUAUGCUAAAACGCUAACUUAAGGUCAACGCUGGAGAUGUAAUGCGUCUGAUCCAUCCUGGAGAGGAUUCCUUCAAUACUGGACAGGGGGUAUGCAUCCUCAAUGGUCAAUGCGUUCAACUUCCGGGCAUCCAGACAGAACCUGUCUUUCCCUGGCUUCGACACUACUGUUGUGCGAUUGCUCCACGGGCUUUUGCUCUCCUCGAUGACACCCAGGUCCAGCGUCUAAUCGACUUCUUCUUCGACCACCUUUUGCUUCGCCGGAGACAUCAGCUCAAUGGAAUGACUCUCCAUGCUGGUGACUCCGAGGCCAUCCCUUUCAAAGGAUGACCUUGUCUAAAGAUCGGCAUAGUGCUCCAUCUGGCUGGCAUGGAUUUCUUCAGCAGCUUUGACGCCUCUCUCGCCACCGGCGUCUCUACGACAGUUGGAGCUAGUCCGAACGCCCGCCAGAAGUCGACUCCGAAGUACGCAGUUUGUUCCAGGCAGCUCCAAGCGUCGGAUAAUGGAUCGAUCCUCGCCAGAAGCCGCCCGGACUACGAAAAAUACGGUUGAAUGGGAACUCCCAGCGUUUCCACGAGCUCUCAACAGCCUUUGCCCAGCACACAUACACUGGACCCCGUGUCCAACAAUCCUAAAGCACUUCCUUGCUUUUUGGACUCUCCGUGAGACUAUACGCAUGCAGCUGAUGUUCCGCAAAGAUCCGGUUCCGUGCGAAGCCUUUCAUCCUCCGCCAACCGUUUUUCGAGCAAUCGGGACAUUCCUCCACUCCGUAGCCUCGCAACCCUAGAAUCCGUGCUGCGCAGCCCUGCAAUUCCAGCAACCUGGCCUAAAUGGAUUUCGGAUACGCCCACGGAGCUCGUCCACUUAGAGGUUUCGCUGCUCGUCGACUUCGUCCGGUAUGUGCGCCUCGCUGACCCGUAACUUUCUCUGCUGCAAGAAAGCAGCGCGCCCUCGACGACCGAAAUCCCUCUCUACUUGGACGCACUGUUCCGCAAGGUCGUCCAUCGCGUGAGGCGAGUUGCUGCAUGGAAUGGAUGUAGUCAUCCGCGCUCUCUCCCGGCUGUUGCUCACGCUGUAGCUGCUCAUGCAUCCUUUCGUGUUCCGUCUGAUGACCACGGAACCGAUCCAUCAGAGCCCUGCGCAGUUGGGCCCAAGUGUCCACUCUGGAUUGGAGUACGUGUACCCAAUACCACUCCUUUGCUCUGCCCGAUAGGAGGACGUGGAAGUUCCGCAAAUCUUCAUUCCACGAACACUGAUGCUGUCGUUGCAGGAACUCUUGACGGUACACGAAGUCGUCUACGGAAUGGCCAUUGUCCUCGACGCCGAAGGAGAGGUUCCAGCGGUCCACUGGGAUGGUGCGGUUCCCGUUGCCGGCUCCCGCGUUUGCGUACAACCGCGGCUCGUCCCGGAAAUCCGCCGUCCAUCGGUCCUCGAAGCGCCACUACCGGAUGCCGGAUGAUACUCCGCUUCCU